CGUGCAGGCAAGAUGGCGGCGGUGGAACGGCCCCAUGAACGCCCCAUACUUGGAGCAGCGCACUGUGAGCUUCAAAACCGCUCUUCAGAAACCUAUGGGUGAUGUCACGGAGGCUACGUUCCUCUUUAUUUACAUUGUGUCACUCCUCUAACGGCUGUCUGUAUUACAACCUUACAACACACUGGCCCGACUUCAUUUGAAGCAGACUCAUACCUAGCUAACUGCACUAGUUGCUUCUCGACGUCUGACCACCGACCACUCUACCUCCACUAGCGUCACGACUGCAAGUCCCAAGACUGAAGUGACUGUACUUUAAAUUUAUUUUCAUAUACUUUAGAUUCAUGAAGUUAUUUUUUCAUCGUCAAACUCCAAAAGCAACUAUUUCAAAAACGAUAAGUCGUCUCCAAACUUCAACUUCAACCGUUAACGCAGCGACGCCUGGACUGCUAACCCCGGCUAACUCACGGGUGACUUGUGGAGGGAAUUAUGGAUUGUGGAAAUCCGACUGCUGUUGAAGUUCGUCAAACUAAAGGCGCCUUUGAAGCCCGGGGCUGGAGUUAACUGUCCCGCCUUCAGCACCUUUGGACCUGGACUUCCCUGCAGAGACAGCAAGGCAUCACUGCUUUUCUUCAUCAAGGCAACACCAUCAUCCUGGCCUUGCUGCAGGAUAAGCUCUCCCAGCUGAGGUAGCUCGCAAAGCUGGGGAAACAUAUCACGUACUCCUGGACCAUCAGCACUGGGUCCCCCCCAAGGCUGCGUCCUUUCUGCUCUUCCCCCUGUAUACCAACACCACCUCCGGGCAUCAUUCAAUCAAGCUCCUGAAAUUUGCAGAUGACACCAUCCUAAUUGGACUGACCUGAGUGACAUGGUGCAGGCAGAACAAUGUGGAGUUGAAAGCUCUUAAGACAGUGGAGGUGAUAGUGGACUUCAGAAAGAACCCUGCCCCACCCACCCCCCAUCACCCUGUGUGACUCCCCCGUAGAGCACUUCUGCUUCCUCUGCAACACUGUCACACAGGAACUCAAGUGCGAGCUGAACAUCAGCUCCUUUACCAAGAAAGCUCAGCAGAAGAUGUACUUCCUGUGGCAGUUGAAGGACAAUGAUGUAAACUUCUCCAUCACCACUUGAUACGCUGCUGCCACUGCCAAGGACAAGAGCAGACUGCGGCAUAUCGUUCACUCUGCUGAGAAGUUGAUUGGCUGCAAUCUGCCACACCUCCAGAACCCCGAAGUGAGCAGUGAAAAGUGUAGCUGCCCCCUCCCACCCUGGACACAAACUGUUUGAGUCACUCCCCCCUGGCAGUCCAUCAGGACCAAAACCUCUCACCACAGGAACAGCUUCUUCCCUACUGCUGUGGGCCUCCUUACCCUAAAGUCCCUCACUGUCAAGCACAGUCAUUAUGCACAGUGUACAUAUUUGUAUUGUAUAUAGUCAUAUGUUUCUAUUUGUUUUCUAUAAUAUUUCUUCACAUUUUAUUAAAAAAUGUGUAGUAUAUAUAUAUACACAUAUAUAUCUGAGAUGUCUGUCCUGUAGUACUUGCUUGUUUCAUCUUUGUUUAAAUGUCUAUUGAAAUGCACAAACACCAGCAAAUUCCUUGUAUGUUGAAAAACUACUUGCCAAUAAACCAAAUUCUGCCUUACUAUA